rnacentral:tRNA from 1 species
UCCCUGGUAGCUCAACAGUAAAGAAUCUGCCUGCCAAGCAGAAGACCUGGGUUUAAUCCCUGGGUGGGGAA